rnacentral:pre_miRNA from 1 species
AAGAGCGUAAAUGCACUAUGUUGCUAAUUAUGUAUAUAACGAAAUUAGCAGCAAGGCGCAUUUGCGUGCCA